UGCCAGCCGCCGCGGUAAUACAGAGACCCCGAGCGUUGACCGGAUUUAUUGGGCGUAAAGCGUGCGUAGGUGGUUUUGUAAGUCAUUCGUUAAAUCUUCAGGCUCAACCUGGAGGCUGCGGGUGAUACUGCAAGACUAGAGGACGGGAGAGGUACACGGAAUUGUUGGUGUAGCGGUAAAAUGCGUUAAUAUCAACAAGAACACCAAAUGCGAAGGCGACUACCUGGACUGAUAUUGACGCUGAGGUGCGAAAGCGUGGGGAGCAAACAGGAUUAGAUA
rnacentral:rRNA from 1 species